rnacentral:rRNA from 1 species
GGGUUGUGAGGUUAAGCGACCAAGCGUACACGGUGGAUGCCCUGGCAGUCAGAGGCGAUGAAGGACGUGCUAAUCUGCGAAAAGCGCCGGUAAGGUGAUAUGAACCGUUAUAACCGGCGAUGUCCGAAUGGGGAAACCCAGUGUGACUCGUCACACUAUCAUUAACUGAAUCCAUAGGUUAAUGAGGCGAACCGGGGGAACUGAAACAUCUAAGUACCCCGAGGAAAAGAAAUCAACCGAGAUUCCCCCAGUAGCGGCGAGCGAACGGGGAGGAGCCCAGAGCCUGAAUCAGCAUGUGUGUUAGUGGAAGCGUCUGGAAAGGCGCGCGAUACAGGGUGACAGCCCCGUACACAAAAGCGCACAUGCUGUGAGCUCGAUGAGUAGGGCGGGACACGUGGUAUCCUGUCUGAAUAUGGGGGGACCAUCCUCCAAGGCUAAAUACUCCUGACUGACCGAUAGUGAACCAGUACCGUGAGGGAAAGGCGAAAAGAACCCCGGCGAGGGGAGUGAAACAGAACCUGAAACCGUGUACGUACAAGCAGUGGGAGCCCCACCACUAAGCCAGUGGUGAACUCCACAUACGCAU